rnacentral:rRNA from 1 species
AUACGUAGGGAGCGAGCGUUGUCCGGAAUUACUGGGUGUAAAGGGAGCGUAGGCGGGACUGCAAGUCAGAUGUGAAGUACCGGGGCUUAACCCCGGAGCUGCAUUUGAAACUGUGGUUCUUGAGGGAAGUAGAGGCAAGCGGAAUUACUGGUGUAGCGGUGAAAUGCGUAGAUAUCAGGAGGAACACCCGUGGCGAAGGCGGCUUGCUGGGCUUUUACUGACGCUGAGGCUCGAAAGCGUGGGUAGCAAACAGGAUUAGAUACCCUGGUAGUCCACGCUGUAAACGAUGAUUACUAGGUGUGGGGGGACUGACCCCUUCCGUGCCGCAGUUAACACAAUAAGUAAUCCACCUGGGGAGUACGGCCGCAAGGUUGAAACUCAAAGGAAUUGACGGGG